rnacentral:rRNA from 1 species
GUGUCAGCCGCCGCGGUAAUACAGAGGGUGCGAGCGUUGUCCGGAAUUACUGGGCGUAAAGGGCGCGUAGGCGGCCUGAUAAGUCGGGGGUGAAAUUCAGCGGCUUAACCGCUGGACUGCCUUCGAGACUGUUAGGCUCGAGCACGGUAGAGGCUGGUGGAAUUCCCGGUGUAGCGGUGGAAUGCGUAGAGAUCGGGAAGAACAUCGGUGGCGAAGGCGGCCAGCUGGGCCGUUGCUGACGCUGAUGCGCGACAGCGUGGGGAGCAAACAGGAUUAGAAACCCCCGUAGUCC